UACGUAGGGGGCAAGCGUUGUCCGGAUUUAUUGGGCGUAAAGCGCACGUAGGUGGUCUGUUAUGUCAGAUGUGAAAGCCCUCGGCUUAACUGAGGAAGUGCACCUGAAACUGGCAGGCUUGAGUACGAAAGAGGGUCGCGGAAUUCCCGGUGUAGAGGUGAAAUUCGUAGAUAUCGGGGAGGAACACCGGUGGCGAAGGCGGCGACCUGGUUCGAUACUGACACUGAGGUGCGAAAGCGUGGGGAGCAAACAGG
rnacentral:rRNA from 1 species